CAGGUCCUCUCCCCACACCCUCUUCCUGUCCCAGAGCUCUUAAGUCUAUUCCUCUCUCUUCUCCUGAAGGUGGAGAACAACAUGUCUUAUGCCUCUAUGUAAAAUGUUCUCAGACACAGAUCUCCACCUCUUCCCUGAUGUGCCCAGCAGCUCAGAGAACCCAAACUGCACCUCCUCAGAAUGGCCGGAGUCCAGGAGAUGGGAGGUCCAAAAGGACUGAGUAGACAGGUCUAGGGAAUCACUGACAGACAAGACACUUGGAGACACUCAAUGAACAGACUUUGGGUACUUCUAUAUCAUGUCCACACAGGAAGACUCACUUAAAAAAUGUUAAGGGCCGGGGUUGGGGAUUUAGCUCAGUGGUAGAGCGCUUGCCUAGCAAGCACAAGGCCCUGGGUUCGGUCCCCAGCUCCAAAAAAAAAAAAAAAAGAAAAGAAAAGAAAAGAAAAAAAUGUUAAGGGCCAAGGGAGACGUAACAGAGACCAUACCUGUGUAGGGCAAGUGUAUCGUAGGAAGGAAGCCAUUGAAAUUGUUCAGGCUCAGAAGAAAGGACACCAGAAGUGGAAGGGGGUGUUCAAGACAAGUCUAGGGUGGGCUAGGCCAGCCUGGAUGUUGCCUUAAUGUAAGAGGGGUCUGCAGCUGGCUGUUCAGAUGGUAAUAUUGAGACAGGUGAGGCUCUGGGGAAGGAUGGUAGUAGAUUGGUUACCCAUGGUUACCCAGGAAACCAGCAUACACAGUUCACAUGCUAAAGGAGCCCCAGGUCCAAGCUGGGGCUACGGGGAGACCGGGCCAGCUCAGUGUGAAGAAAGGAAGCUGUAGCUGUAGGGCCCAGGUCCUGACAGAUAAAAACACGGACUGUCCUCGGACAAGAAGUAAAGCCAUAGAGAGGCCUCCAGGGAGGUCAAAGGAGAGGGAGGACCAAGAGCCAGGCAGCCAGACCUGGAUACCGAGCAUCUGGAAUCCGGGACGGUGAAGUCCACAGCCUCUGCAGUGGGUCUCCCUGAUGAAGGGGACCAACCAAGGAUCCCUGAGGAAGUUCUGUGUCAAUUUAAUGAUGAGGGAGAAGCUUCACGGUCACAGGAAGGGUAAUCCUAAAUCAUGCUCAAUUGUACCUGAAUGAUCAAAGGUGAUUUUCCAAAGAGGUUCAUAGUCAUCUGGGUCUCCCUGGGCAGCAUCCCUCCUUGUCACCCUUAGGUAGGGUUAGUAAUGGAUAACAUUUACACCUAAGGCCCUCAACUCACAGGUAACACUGAAUGGUACUUAAGGCAGCCACUUGCCAGCUCUCCCAGAACACAAGGCACUUUCCAGAUCUGAGCUGCAACAUCCUGGCCCUUUGGACUCUGCCUGCCCUGCCAUGUUCUAGUCACACCAUGGCCCUGCUGAUGCCAGCCACCCUUUCCCAACUGUGUCCUAGGAUUGCUGUAUGGAACCCUCCUGGUGACCCCAACCCAACAACAUUGUUCCGAUGGACUCGUUAACAGCUUGCCCACUCUGAACUGGGCCAGGAAAUCCCUUGUGUCUAACUCUCAAAUGGAUCAACAGCCCCAAUCUCUAGGCCAGAAAGAUGUGAGAAAGGCAGAUCACCAAAGUGAAAUGGCUCAUGUGUCCCCAAAGGGGACCCCAAAGGGCCAGGGUACCAGGGCCAUUCCCCCAGAGUCAUCACCUUCAAGAUGCCCCACAGUACCCCUGCCUCCUCCCUUCCUCAGCACAUCACUUCCUUGCUAAGUGCACACUCACAGGCAGGAGGGAAGUGGGCAAGCUAGAGCAAAGAAACCUGGGAGGCAGCCUGGAGUGGGCGGAAAUCACACAAGGCAGAUUCUGGAAGCUCUGAGAGAAAAACAGCCAGAGCAGACCAUAGCUGGAGCAGAUGGCCUCAGAAGGAGAAGCAGGAAGGAGGGAGGGAGGAGUCCCAUCCGAGAGCAGAAGGUAGAGACCUGGCAGAGUCCAGAGAUGCCUUGACCAGGUCUCUUCCCAGCAGGGCCUCACCUAUGGCAUAGAGCCAGGCAGACAUGGG
ensembl:lncRNA